GUGAGAAAAGUGCUUACGUGAGGCUAUUUCUCGAAGGCUGUUUUGGCAACGACAUGGCGGUCCAGCUGAUCAACACGAGCGAGCGGUGUGUCGACGAGGCGCUCGAAGGCUUGGCGGCCGGGAACUCGGGUCUGGUGCUCCUGCCAGAACAGCGCGUGGUGGUCGAGCGAGCGUGGCUGGCGGGGGGGCGGAGGGGGGUCGCCGUCGUGACAGGCGGUGGGUCGGGACACGAGCCCUUCGCUGCCGGCUAUGUUGGGGAAGGGAUGUUGGCGUCUGCCGUGGCUGGCUCGGUCUUCACCUCCCCGCCCCCCGCUUCCGUCGCCGCGGCCAUUGCGGCGGUGGGGAAGGAUAACCCAGACGGCGUGUUGGUGGUGGUCUUCAACUACACUGGAGAUCGAGUCAAUUUCGGCUUGGCGGUCGAGAGGUGUCGGGCCGCCGGUAUGAAGGUGGGGAUGUACGUUAGCGGUGACGAUUCCGCGCUCGCCCAAGUCACUGGCACCGCUGGCAGGAGGGGCCUCUGUGGCACUCUGUUUGUGCUGAAGAUCGUGGGCGCCAUGGUCCAGACGGGUGCCACGCUGGAACAAGCCCUGGAGACAUGCCACAAGCUCGGUGGUGCCAUGGGAACUAUAGGCUUUGCUGCCAGUGCGUGCCAGAUGCCCGGGGCACCCAAGCCCCUCUUCACGGUGCCCCAGGGCAUGUUGGAGCUCGGCCUGGGGGUACAUGGCGAGAAAGGGGCUGCCACUAUCAAGGCAGGAACAGCAUCCGAAGUGAUGAAAACGCUCCUGGACAACCUGACGAGGGAGGACUCGGAGACACGUCUUGAUCUGCAGAAGGGAGAUGAUGUGGCAGUCAUCGUGAACAACCUCGGGUGCACUUCGGAGCUUGAGAUGGGUAUCCUGAGGAGGGAAGCUGUCAUCCAACUGAAACAGCGCGGCAUAAACCCCGUCCGUGUGUACCAAGGAUCACUCAUGACAAGUUUGGACAUGAAGGGCGCGCACAUCUCUGUCUUGAGGAUCCUGGACCCCACAUGGGUGACCUUCCUCGAUGCCCCAACUUCCGCGCUGGCCUGGCCGACGCCCAUAAUUCACAAGGGUGGCGAGGACGAGGCAUUCAGUGUGCCCGAGUACGACCUCAACCUGUCUGCCCGAGAAGCUCUGGGUAGCAGCUACAUCCUGAAAGACCCUGCCCAUGCCCACGCCCUAAGGGCAUGCCUGGAAUCCCUCGUGGCGAAGGUCCCCCAGCAUGAGGAGCUCCUUAACACCCUCGACUCCGGCUGCGGCGAUGGGGACUGUGGUACCACGCUGCUCCUUGGGAUUCGAGCCAUCUCAGACCAGCUGCCGAGCCUCCCAACCACCCAACCGCCGCCAUCUUAGCCACCCUCGCCGCCGUAGCCUCCUUCAGCAUGGGCGGCUCCUCGGGGGGUCUCUACUCCAUCCUCCUGACGACCGCCGCCUCCCACCUCGCCCCUUCCCCCUCGGAGGGCGUGUCCCCGAGGGCGAGGUGGGCGUGGGCGUUGCGGAAGGGCGUGGAGGCCGUGGGGAAGUACGGGGGGGCCAGGGCGGGCGACAGGACCAUGCUGGACGCCCUUUUGCCGGCUGUGGAGGCGCUGGACACCGCCGGCGACGCCCUGGGACUGAGGGCGCUGCUGCAGGCCAUGGCGGCGGCGGCUGACUUCGGGGCGAGACGGACUGCGGGCAUGAAGGCCAGGU
rnacentral:misc_RNA from 1 species